CCAGCCCCUGUUUCCCAAGAGUUCGCUGCAUCAAUACGGCGCCUGGUUUCCACUGUGAGUCAUGUCCUCCUGGCUACAGAGGACCACCGCUGGAAGGAGUCGGCUUAGCGUUUGCCAGGGCCAAGAAGCAGAUCUGCAAUGAUGUCAACGAAUGCGAGGAAGGGACUGCCAGGUCCUGCGUGGCCAAUUCCAUCUGCAUUAACACUCCGGGCUCCUACAAAUGUGGGGCGUGCAAAAACGGCUUUGAAGGGGACCAGAGUUCUGGCUGCCGGAUCAAGACCAAGCGACAUUGCCCCAAUGGUCAACCAAGCCCUUGUCAUGAGAAAGCGGAGUGCAUUGUCGAGCGGGAUGGGACUCUCCUCUGUCAGGUG